CAUUCUGCCUUUGCAGUUGUCUACAAGUUGAGCUUAGCUAGUCAUCAGCUCUGGCUGGACUCUUAAUGGAGUGAGGGAGCCAGCUCUGUGGGGUGAUUCAUCCCAUCAAUUAAUCCAAAUCAAGACGGUAUCUUCUGCUGGACUUCUUUGCCCUGCCUUGUGAUCUCAGCUUUGAUUUCAGAGGGGUAAGACACUGGUAGUUGUGGAAAGUCUGCCAGCUGGAGUCCUCUUUCUUGCCUGGACAUCUUAGAAGGAUCCUUGCAGAAACAAGUGUGAAUAAGGAGAGGAGACAGGUUCCAGCAUGAAUGCACUGCAUCCAGAAGGGUGUGAGGAGGAAGAUAGAGUGAUCAGUGAUCAGGACAGUUUCCAAACAAAUGAGGAACCAGUCAGAAUGGGACUCUGCAAUGAUGCAAAUCUUCUUGUUCACAUCUUUUCCAGUCCUUCCCCAGGUUCACGUCUUCAGAUGUAGAAAGUUUAGACUUUCAUUCAAGUAUGUCUCUGGAGCUGUUGCCGACAUAAAACACUUUAAAGACUGACCUGAAAUUUUUGCAUUUAUGGAAAACAUUAAAAUUAAUAUUAAUUUGAAGAACUAAUUUGAAUACCAGAAAAGCGUUAAUUGUGUCAUUUCCUUUCCUUUGUUUACAAUAGCUAAUGUAUAUUUCUCAUUGAAAAAUACUAUGUAUGCAGGUAUACUGCAUAAGACAGAAAUGAAACUGCAGGUGAAGCAUUCACGGCCCAGGAAAUUAUCCUACAUUAGUGGUGCAGUAGUCUCUGGUCUUCUUUAUUCUUUAUUCUGUCUGCACUGUACCUAUUUCACACUAAUUCUUUCCCUGUGAUUAUGUUGCCUCCAGUUUGAGAUGAGAGGAAUCACAUGGUAGAUCAGUUGGAGAGCUUGUUCAUGCUUACAUGCAAGGAUAACUGCACUGCAUCUUGUUUUCCCCAUGGAGAACUUACUGGCUUAUUCCAUUUAAGUUUUUAUUAAAGCACCAUUAAUGCUCUGCAGUAUAGUUUCUUAUAUUAUCCCCAUUACUGCAGACUCAUGUCCCUUCCAGUAUUCUGUUAAGCAGCAUGACAAACAUCUGUCGCAUGUUGGCGCUUUUGUCUUCUCUUCAGGAGGAGGACUGUUUGCAAAGGAGUAGUUUAUUUUGGAUUUAUCUUGAUCCAUUCCUACAUAUAUCUGCACAGAAAGAGAAAGAAGCAUGUAUACCUUGCUAAGCAAUUUUAAAGGACAUGGAAUCAACUCAAAUGAGCCUACUAUUUAGGUUGAAAAGUGGUGAUGUUUGAUAUGUUCUGUAGUUUCUGCAGGAGCUUGUUAUGUUGUUACUUCACAAGAAAUUUAUGACAAGAAUGACCAAAAAUGAAACAAAAAUCUUUAUGCCCUGUCUGCUGUAUGAGAGACAGGAGUCAGGCUCACUACUUUAACCUUUUAACAGUUCUUCAUUUUAUUCUGUUGGUCAUUUCAUCACUUUUUCAUCAGUGCUGAAAAUUUAAAAGGAAGAAUAAAAAGGACCAUUCAGUAAAAUUACAGAACCUUGAAAAGGUCAAGAAAAUAUCGUUUAUUGUUAUUUUUCAGAGAACACGUAAGUCUAUAAAAUUGCAGUGUCUCAUUCUAAUGGCCAAGAUUGUAACAAGGACAGAAAGUCCUGCAUAAAUUCAGUAUUUUUGACAAUGACUAUAAGCGUGGGAAAUAGUACAAUUUAAUCUGUUGUUGUUACAGCUUUUAGAUUAUAAUCAGCUGGUUAACACCCAUGAAGUUUUAGAUGACUUUUAGUUUCCUUCAAGUGACCUUAUAGAUUUUUUGUGACUAUUUUAAAGCAAGUUGCAAGUGAGAAAGUGUAAUGUUUUAUUUGUUUUACUCUAGUCAAGAGUCCAGUGAAUUAAGCUGAAACUGCAGAAUGUCCGAACUUGUCCAGGUCAGUUAUUCACUCAUAGCUCACAGAAUAAGCAUUUCCUAUACUUAAUUUCCUAUACCAACUGAAGGAGUGAUAUAGUGUGAUUAUUUCAAGAGCCAUCAAGUUCAGGCUAUCUAUUUUUAUGGCUUCGUCGACAGCCGCCUCUGGAUUCUUCACAUGCUAUGCCAGCAGAGGUUUAGGUUAUUGUUAGGUAUGAGCGUUAGACUGCAAAAUUUGUAACGAAAGCACAGCCAGGUAGGUAUAUAGGGAAGCGUUGCUUUCUGCUAUCCCUGGUUCCCUUCACAAGGUAACUGAGUUUGGGGAAUAGACUUGGAGACUAGGUGGACGUUUGUUGUAACUUAGUGAGGCUAUUCUUAGGUUUGUAUAGGAUCCACCUUUUUCUGUCUAACUUAACUGUCUUAUUCUCUUCAGUAGGUGUUUGGAUUUCUUCUAUGGCUGAUGAAUGCAAACAGGCACCUUUAAAAUGACAUAUUUCUGACAGUCAGCCCCUGUGAUUAUACAGGAAUCUUAAGAAGUAGAUGCUUAUCUUUUAGAUGGCUACUUUUAGGUAAGAUGAGUACUAGUACAAAGGCUGUAAUUCAUAUCUAACUUCUUACCUUCAUAAGGAUUUCAAUUUAACAUUGCUUGCUGUAAAUUCCAAAUUCACUUUAGACUAAAUCAAUUUUGCCUGAUACCUAUAAGAAUGAAUUAGAGCACUCCCUUUCUUAGAAAAUCUCAUUGUGCAUAAUGAUAAAAAUUUCCUGUUAUUGUAAUAAUCCAUCUAUGAAUCCUGAACUCCUCAGAAUUUCAGUUUGAUAUAUGACUGUUAGACUGCGUUGUUUAGUAGUAAAGGUAGCACAAUAGGAGCCAGAAAUCUGAGUCUUAGAUGAAGAUUCUGUUAUAAAAACACUGAAUUAAAUGUUACUACUUACAGAGUUUCAGAACAUGCAUAAAGUAACAAUCAGAUACAGACUGGCAGGCUGGAGAGCAUAAGAAUGAGAUAACUUAGCAUAAC